UUGUUUUUGUUUUGUUUUGGUUUUUUUCUGUAUGCAUUUAUUUAUUUGUGCAAGAAUAUAUAUAAAUGUAAACAUUAGAGGACAACUUUCAGGAGUCGAUUCUCUCCUUCAUGUGGAACCUGGAGAGCGAACGGAGAUCGUUAGGCUUGGCAGGACCCAUAUUCUUGGGUCUGCCCGAUCCUGUACAGAUGGAGUUCAAUAAUAUUGCUAAAGACAAGAAACAAAAGCCAAGGAAAGUUAAAAGGAUUCAGGAAAGCAGGGAAGAGCGUCGGGGAUGGAAAAAGAAAGUCAAGACAGGCCCCGCCUCUGAGCCCGCCCCCCAGCCGCAGCCCCGCCCUCCACCACAGGCUGCAGCGCCGCCUCCGGCCGCCAGGGGCCGCCACGCGCCGCAGACCGCAUCCCGUCCGCUCGGCGGCCUCUCUUUCCCGCUGGUUUGCCGGCCUCUCGCCCUCUCGCCACUGGUGUCGCGCUUCGGUCGCGUCCCGCGCGUGGUUUUUUUUUUUUCUCGUGAGGGACCUCGCGCCGCCGGGCGCGUGCCGUCCCCCUGCCUCGCGGCGCGGGCUCUCGCGGGCCCCGCUCCCGCCCUCCGCUCGCCUGGCCCGGACCGGAAGCGGCGCCGCACGGCCUGGGCCUGGCGCGGGGGGCGGGCUCUGGGGCCCGGUCGGACAUGGGCAAGAAGCACAAGAAGCACAAGUCGGACCGCCACUUCUACGAGGAGUACGUGGAGAAGCCCCUGAAGCUGGUCCUCAAAGUCGGGGGGAGCGAGGUCACCGAGCUCUCCACGGGCAGCUCCGGGCACGACUCCAGCCUCUUCGAAGACAGAAGCGACCAUGACAAACACAAGGACAGAAAACGGAAAAAGAGGAAGAAAGGCGAGAAGCAGGCUCCGGGGGAAGAGAAGGGGAGAAAACGGAGAAGAGUCAAGGAGGAUAAAAAGAAGCGGGAUCGAGACCGUGCAGAGAAUGAGGUGGACAGAGAUCUCCAGUGUCAUGUCCCUAUAAGAUUAGACUUACCUCCUGAGAAGCCUCUUACAAGCUCGUUAGCCAAACAAGAAGAAGUAGAACAGACACCCCUUCAGGAAGCUUUGAAUCAGCUCAUGAGACAAUUGCAAAGAAAAGACCCAAGUGCUUUCUUUUCAUUUCCUGUGACGGAUUUUAUUGCGCCUGGCUACUCCAUGAUUAUUAAACACCCAAUGGAUUUUAGUACCAUGAAAGAAAAGAUCAAGAAUAACGACUACCAGUCCAUAGAAGAACUAAAGGAUAACUUCAAGCUAAUGUGUACUAAUGCAAUGAUUUACAAUAAGCCAGAGACCAUUUAUUAUAAAGCUGCAAAGAAGCUGUUGCACUCAGGGAUGAAAAUUCUCAGUCAGGAGAGAAUUCAGAGCCUGAAGCAGAGUAUAGACUUCAUGUCAGACUUGCAGAAAACUCGGAAGCAGAAAGAACGAACAGAUGCCUGUCAGAGUGGGGAGGACAGCGGCUGCUGGCAGCGCGAGAGGGAAGACUCUGGAGAUGCUGAAACACAGGCCUUCAGAAGCCCCGCUAAGGACAAUAAAAGGAAAGACAAAGAUGUGCUUGAAGACAAAUGGAGAAGCAGCAACUCAGAAAGGGAGCAUGAGCAGAUUGAGCGCGUUGUCCAGGAGUCAGGAGGCAAGCUAACACGGCGGCUGGCAAACAGUCAGUGUGAAUUUGAAAGAAGAAAACCAGAUGGGACAACAACACUGGGGCUUCUCCAUCCUGUGGAUCCCAUUGUGGGAGAGCCAGGCUACUGCCCUGUGAGAUUGGGGAUGACAACUGGAAGACUGCAGUCUGGAGUGAACACUCUGCAGGGGUUCAAAGAGGAUAAAAGGAACAGAGUAACCCCAGUAUUAUACUUGAAUUAUGGACCCUACAGUUCUUAUGCCCCACAUUAUGACUCUACAUUUGCCAAUAUUAGCAAAGAUGAUUCUGAUUUAAUCUACUCAACAUAUGGGGAAGACUCUGACCUUCCAAACAAUUUCAGUCAUCUCCUGAAGAUGAAGGCCAGACCAGAGCAUUGGACACAGCAAAAGAAGCAGAGCAGAUUACACAAAUAGAGCCAACAGGGCGUUUGGAGUCCAGCAGUCAGGACAGGCUCACAGCACUGCAAGCUGUAACAACCUUUGGUGCUCCAGCUGAAGUCUUUGACUCCGAAGAGGCUGAGGUGUUCCAGAGGAAGCUUGAUGAGACGACAAGAUUGCUCAGGGAGCUCCAGGAGGCACAGAAUGAGCGACUGAGCACUAGGCCUCCUCCCAAUAUGAUCUGUCUCCUGGGUCCUUCUUACAGAGAAAUGUACCUUGCUGAACAAGUGACCAAUAACCUCAAAGAACUCACACAGCAAGUGACUCCAGGUGAUGUUGUAAGCAUACACGGAGUGCGAAAAGCAAUGGGGAUUUCUGUUCCUUCCCCCAUCGUGGGAAACAGCUUCGUAGAUUUGACAGGAGAGUGUGAAGAACCUAAGGAGACCAGCACUGCUGAGUGUGGGCCUGACGCGAGCUGAACUAGCCUGUUACUUUGGAGCAAUUGCAAAUGGAUGAACCAAGUAAGAUGAGCCAAGUCACCCUUAGACACAUCAGAGUCUAGAGUUAGUGGAGAGCUUGCUCCUGCUCAGUUUUCCAAAGGCCACCUGUGUUUCAUUUGUGCCCCCAAAUCAUUUCCCUGUUCUGAAAUACACAGGUCAAGUGACUGAGCACAUUAGGUAGGAGACCAUCGGAUAUGUACCCUUAUAUCACACUCAGUCACUGGACUGAGAUAAAUAAUAGUUUUUCCAAAUAUAACCUCUUUAAGAGGCAAGCUGGGUAUGGUAGGUUGCAUUUAUAAUCCCAGUAUUUGAGUGGCUGAGAGAGGAGGAUUGCCAUGAAUUUGAGUCCAGCUGGGCUAUGAGACCAUGCCUCAAAAAAAAAAAAAAAAAAAAAAAAAAAAAAAAAAAAAAAAAAAAAAAAGGUGAGGAUGAGAGUGCAGGAGAGAUAGCCCAUCAGUUAAGAGAACAUACUGCGCUUGCAGAGGACUGGAGUUGAGUUCUCCACACCCACAUUGCUCAAAACCACCUAUAAGUUACAAUUCAGGGAACCUCGUACCUCUGGCCGCCUCUGCAAGCACUGGUACUGUGUGCACAUAGCCACAUGAACACACAUGAUUUUAAAAUAAGUAUGUCAGUAUAGAUAGAACCUAGUUUAGCAAACAGAUGUCUCACCCUUUUACAGAGCCUGUCUGCAAGACGUCUAGACAGGCAUACCUAUUUUCUUGAUUUGAAAUUAAUAUUAAGCAAGAACAGUAAAGAAAACUUGUUUCUCUCCAUAAAUUACAGGGUGGUCCUUUUGUAGACAGGUAUGCUAAUAAAAUACAUCAAUUCAAGUGUGUUUAUGUAAGUUUUUUUAGAUUCUGAUUUUAGUCUCUACAGUUUAAGGGCUGAGUGGUGUAGGUCUGUUGAUAGAGUACUUGGCCAGAAUUCAUGAAGCCUGGAGUCUAAUCCUCUGCACCAUACAAACUGGCCAUGGAGGGGUGGGGGUGAGGGGUGUCAGUGGCUGAAGUGCUUAUGCAAACCUGACAGCCUGAGUUUGGAUCACCAGAACCCAAGUACAAAGCUGGAUGUGGUAGCAUACGUGUCUAUAAUCUCUGCACCCUAUAGAAAGGUGGGAGGUAGAGACCUGGAAAUUCAUAGGGCAGCUAGCUCGAAGUUAACAGAAGCGAGAAACCCUGUCUCAAAGUAGGAGUGAGGACUGACACCCAAGAUUGUCUUCUGAUCUCUACACAAGCAGGCCUGCACGCACAUGAACAUGCGCACACACAAGGAAACUGGCUAUAAUGGCACAUGUCUGUAAUCCUAGCAUUCUAGAAAUGGAGACAGGAAGAUUGGGAGUUGAAGAUUUGAGGACAGCCUGGGUUAUAUGAGACCCUGUUCAGAUAUUUAACCCAUUCUUCACCAGUAGAUCUAUUUGGCACAAGUCAGUUCCUGAAGACCCAGAUAUACUUUCAUUCAAAACACCUUAGGACAUUCAGAUGUUUUAAUUGUUGGUUGAACAUAUAAAAAGGAGCCAGGCACUGAUGAUUUAUGAAAA